UGACAUUAUAGUCAACUAAAUACAGCCAAUUGCCCUCCCCAAUGUAGGUGACCUUUGUCCAGUUCAUUGAAAGCCCUCCCUUCCUCCUACCCAUGAAUAAGAGGAAAUUCCUUUUUCCUGACUGGUUGAGCUGGAGUAUUGGCUCUUCCUCUCUCCAGACUUGCACAGAAAAGAAACUCUUCCCAAGUUUCACAGCUGCUGGCUUUCAUACUGGAAUUUACACCAUUUACUUUCCUUAUUCUCAGGCCUUAGGACUCAUACUAGAACUACACAAUUGGAUCUCUCCUGAGAUCUUGGGACUUCUCAACCUCCAUAAUCAUGUUUCUUUCUGACCCUAGGUCCCUGAUCUCAUUUUUCCAGGAUACUUUUUUUUAGGUGAUCAUUCAAAAUACCAAGCACAGCUGCUCACAGAUGACUGACCAAACAGGAAUCUCACUCCAUUUUUCAAUGUUCACCUGCUGACAACUUUUAGACAUCAUCCCUUCCUCAUCGUUUUUGUCCACAUUUGGACACUUCAGACCUCCUUGAGAUCCCUGCUCUGUGUGGUGUACUACUCUUGACAUUUCAGUCAAAUUUCAGUGAAAGUGCCCCCUGCUUUUGCAGGGUGACCGUAACGGCUUGACCCCUGCAGGAACUGAUCGAUCAAGGAAGACAACACAACAGCUGCAUGGAUUUCCUUCACAAACUAUUGUUUUUAUCUUCAUAAUUCAAAGAUUAAGCCAUAUGAGUGAAAAAUUGUAUCACACUCUGAAACCAAGUAGCUGGAAAAUACCCCGAAUUCUGAGGCUGCAUCAGUUAUGCAUCUGAGGAGGGAAGAAUGGCACUGUUUCUUGGAUCUUUACACACCCCAAAAUGUACAAAUAGUUAUUGUGGAGGAGGGACAAAACACACAUUUUUUAGUACCUUUUAUGUGAACAGGCAUUACAAUAGCCAUUGCAUGUGAAUCAGAUUAUUCAAUCCUACAAGUGACAUUAGGAGUUAAUUAUUGUCUGUAUUUUAAUGAUGAGGAUAAAGAUAAUUUAAAUAAUUUUCCAGUAGUCACAGACAUAGGAAAAACCAGGGCUCAGGCUGGAAGCCAUCUCUGUUUAACAUGAAAGACCAUGCUAUUUUACUUCAUCUUCUCCAGGAAUUUACAUAUAUUCUUAUUUUGAAUUUUGUACAAUAAGUAGGUACUAUAUUAUUCAUACAAAAUCACUUUAUCUAUUAUUAUUAUUUGCAGCUUACUUCAUAUUCAUAUAGCAGUUUCUCAUUAGUUUUUUCCUUAUAGAUAUUAUCUAGCAACUCCCUUUAGAUUUGUGUAUUGACCAAAGUUAUUUUAGUUGUAAACAGCAAAACUAAGUCUGGAUAUUUUAAGCAUAAAAUGUAACUUUGGGAGUAAAAGUGAGGUAGUUUGCAAGAUCAAAGGAACUUCUGAAAGCUAAGCCUUCUAAAGGGCAGGUAGUAGGGAAGAUUCUGGGCAGCAAGAAUAUUUAUGGAUCUUUUCUAUAUAUAUAGAAUUAAAUUUAUUGUCAAAUUGGUUUCCAUACAACACCCAGUGCUCAUCCCAACAGAUGCUCUCCUCAAUGCCCAUCACCCACUUUCCCCUCUCCCCCACCCCCAUCAAGCCUCAGUUUGUUCUCAGUAUUUAAGAGUCUCUUAUGGUUUGCCUCCUUCCUUCUCUGUAACUCUUUUCUUUCCCCCCUUCACCUCCCCCCUGGUCUUCUGUUAAGUUUCUCAGGAUCCACAUAUGAGUGAAAACAUAUGGUAUCUGUCUUUCUCUGCUUGACUUAUUUUACUUAGCAUAAUACUCUCCAGUUCCAUCCACAUUGCUACAAAUGGCCAGAUUUCACGCCUUCUCAUUGUCAAGUAGUAUUCCAUAUAAACCACAUCUUCUUUAUCCAUUCAUCAGUUGAUGGACAUUUAGGCUCUUUCCAUAAUUUGGCUAUUGUUGAAAGUGCUGCUAUAAACAUUGGGGUACAAUUGCCCCUAUGCAUCAGCACUCCUGUAUCCCUUGGGUAAAUUCCUAGCAGUGCUAUUGCUGGGUCAUAGGGAGAUAAUGGAUCUCUUCUCAAGAGGUCUCUCAAUAAGAAGUUUUAGAUUCAAGUACUCCUAGAUUUUGUUUCUCUUUUCCAUCUUUUAAAAUUCUUGAACAAAGUCUAUGAGAGACCAACUUUGAGUUGUAUAUUUAUUUGCCCCUUGACUUAUGAACGAUGAAUGUGGAAAGCAAAAUCUUGCAUGCAAACUUGCCCAGUGGAGGUCUACUCAUAUGGAUUGAGGAAAAUAUCCACUAUAAGCCAAAUAAUCACUUCAAGUACAACCUGCAUUGAAUAAAAUACCUGCAUGAAUUAUAAGCCAGUUAUUACUUCAGACAUAUAUAGCUUUUAAAACUUCAUUUUUCACUUAAAUAUUCAUUGAUGUGAGAAAACAAUGCUAUUUGAAAAUAAAUGUAAUCCAUAACACAAAGGAUGCAGUGUUAUAAAUUUGUAAAUGGAGAGUAAAAUUCCUAGACUUAUGGAACUAAAUCAGAUUGUCUAUUUAUGUCUUUAGAGCAGUCUAUUUGCUACAUUUAUUUUCCUGUUAAAUAUUUAUUGUGGCUUCAGUGUUACUCUAGAAAUGGCACAAUAACUUAUGAAAAGCUCAUUAUCUAAGACAGUACACAUGACAAACCAAAGAAAUUGACCACCUACUUCAGAUUUUCUGAAUGUAUUUUAUUGUACAAAGUCAUGGUUUAUAUGAUCUGAUAAGAAAUACACCUUAGGGUAUUCCAUAAAGUGAAAGGGCAAGCAAUGAUAUUAGUCAAGGACAUACAUAAUGGUAUUGACAAUAUUUUAUUUCUUAUCAUACUAAAGUCUAUCUCUUCUACCUGUUAUAACAACACCUAAUGUCUCAUACUUGGCUAUCUGGGUAAAGUUAAUGGCAUUAUACAAAUGGUUGACAGAACCUUUGUUACAUAUAAUAUAUAUGUUUUCCUUAAAGAAUAUUUCACAUUCUUUAAUCUAUCCCAUAUGUUUUUCACCUUGAUGAUAAUUAUUGCAUUAAUGGAGAAUAAAGUAUGAUUAUCUACAAUUUUCCAGUGGGUGAUGGGCAUUGAGGAGGGCACCUGUUGGGAUGAGCACUGGGUGUUGUUUAGAAACCAAUUUGACAAUAAAUUUCAUAUAAAAAAUAAAUAAAAAAUAAAUAAAAUUCUCCAUAUUCUUUUAAAUCGUUAUUUGCAAAUACAGGCAAAAUUAGAAAACCACAUAAAAUUUUGUGAAAAGUCAAAGACAUCUCUCUACAUGGCACAGAAUGUCUUAAUUAUUAAUAUUGUCUUUCAUGGCCCAGGCCUUUAUAAGGGAGAAUUAUUGGGAAUUUAAUUAUCUUCACAGACACUCAUCCUUUUCAUUUUAUGUGACAAGUAUCUAUAUAACAUUUACUAUGUGCCAGGUGCUAUUCUAAGUGUUUCUUAAGUAUGAGAUAGUUUUAUUAUAUCUACUCUAUAGGUGAGGAAACUACUAUGCAAGGAGUUUAAGUGAUUUGCUCAAGUGCCAAAAAAUGGCAUAGCAUUUAUAUAGAUACAUAAGAUGCAAAUUAAACUAUGCCCGGAAACUGGAAAAAGCUAAGUGGAGUGAAGGUUAAAUGUUUUUGUUCUAUUCAUUUAUAUUUAUUCCUCCUUAGGACAAUUACCUUAUUAACUUACAUAAUAUUUUUAGCAUUAUAAUGAAUUGUUAUCCUUAGUAAGAUAUCCCACUAAAUAUAAAUUGAUAUAUAAUGGUAUUAAAGCUAUUAAAUUUUUAUUAUAUUAAAUGGUACAAAACAUUGAUUCAUUUUUAUAGUAAAAAUGAUAAUUUCCCUACUUCUUAUAAUAAAAAGUACUACAAUUUAAAUACAUAAUUGAAAAAAUGUUACAUAUUUAAAUGCUACCUUAAUGAACAAUUCUCUUGCAUACAUCUUUCAUUGACCUGAAACUCACCAUUAUUUUUCCUUGCUUUUAAAUGCCUAUUUGCUUUUUUGCUUUAAUGUAUGUAAUUAUAUGCCUAGAUAUGGUUUUGCUUCUUCUUUUUGGUUUUCUUUGAAAAGAAAUCAAUAAUAUUUAUUACCAAAUACAUUUAUGCUUAAGGAUCAAGAAAUGUAAUGUAUUUAAAAUGUUCCUAUUUAAUUGUAUUACUAAGAAACUUAAUUGGCAUUUCUCAAGAGCACCAUAAACAUUCUAAACGAUACAAUCUUUAUUCGUAAAAUUUGUCCAAUGUCUGAUAAAAAUGUGACUGUGUAAUUUUCCCAUCUGAAGCUUUGCAUUAUUAGGCACACUUAAAUGAGUCUUUUUAAAACAAAAUAAAGCUUUGGCCAUCCCUUGGAAUGUAUAUUGGGCAAUAUAAUAUAUAAAACAAGCAAAUUUCUGUGUGCUAUGGUUAGAAAAUAUUCUUGAAACCUAAUACCUUCUUUCAUUAAACAUUAUCCUAUGAAUCUGUUUUUCUUGUUUUUACUCUUCUCAUCACUAGAAUUUGAUAUCUUUUUUAAGAAAAAAAUUUCAAUUCCAAACGUGCAAUUAAUAACAUGUUAGAGCAAGGCUCAAUAGACGUCAGCCUUAAAAAAAUUAGACACCUUGAAAUCUCUAAUUAAAUAAAGCUAGCAUAAUUUACUAACAGAAAUACUGAAUUUUUAUUUUGCCAAGGGGUAGCUUUAGGGCAUCAUUUAAUCCAAUAGAUUGCCAUCCAAACAAGUAUCAAAUCAAAGGCUAUUAGCUAAUACUCAGUAGGAAACUGAAGGUUUGAAAAGUUUCCUAAAACACCCCUGAGGUGAAGAUUGAUGAUUAUUUUAUCUAAACAAAUAUGAGUGAGAUUUAUUUUCUUUAGUGUCUUUGUGACCAGAACAUCAAAGGCUAUGGAUUUAUUACUCUGUAAUCUGUUUUUAGUAUGAGAAAGCUAUAGUGAGAAAAAUUUCUAGAGAGAGGAUUUAACUGCACUUGAGAUUCUAAUUACAUUUCCAGAUACAGAUAUUUCUACUCAGGACUCAUUAUGUAAAUGUAUCCAUUAUGUAAAUCACUAAACUAAGACAUACACAUGCCUUUAUUUUACCAAAAAAUAAACUCUUUCCAUUCAAUAAGCAAUCUCAAGUGAAACCAAUAAAAAUCAUCACUUGUUUAUUGACAAUGUUAUUUAAGAUACAUUUUAAUGAAUCAUAAAUUAUGAUUUGUUGUUGCCAUAGAGCAAUUUUCUUGACUACUUGCAGGAUAAGACAGAACUGGUUCCUUAAGCAUCCUUUGGGCAUGGAUUCUUCAAUAUCUACUUAGAUUUUUAAAAAUGGUUUAGUGUCUUUAAAGUCCUGAAUAGUGCUCCAGACAAUGACGUUACCUCUGGCAGAAUCUGUUGACGCCCCGCUGAUAUCUUCUUGGCCCUUCUACUUUCUAGCUAAGUUUGUUUGACUUCCAAAUGCCACCACCUGCAUCCUUUUGCCCUUGGGCUUUUCUGGCUGACGGAGCCUGCUCUGUUCAUUGGCAAGGCAUGCAGGAAGUGCCAGGACUUUUAUCCCCUUUUCUUGGAAGCAUUUCACAAAUGACAGAACCCAGGUUAGGAAAGUACUCCACUAAAGGCAAUAAAUUCUAAAAGAGUCGCGACCGAGAUGCCCUCACUGUUUGUCUCUACUUGACUAAAUUUUGGACAAGUUUCUUUCUUAUUUUAGGCCCCCCACCCCACCCCACCCCCGCCUUUUUUAUUUGAGUAUACUUACUUUAGAAAAUAUGUAAUUAUAAAUCCUUUAUCUGCCUCUUUGAGAUGGAAUUUUUUUCAAAAGCCACUUUAUGGCUUAUGAAUGAUUCUUAUACAUUAUGCCAAAAUAUAUUGGAUGGGCCAUUUAAAAGCUUUGUAAAUGCAAAUUAAAAACAUUAAAGGUUAAAUAAAGCUGAUAAGGUUUACGUAAUUUUUUGAACCAAUUUUGGUGAAAAUUUAGAUAUUGACAAAGAUAAAACCUCUUCUCAUGACAGAUUUCUAUGCAAUACAGACAAAAUUUUGAAAAGUGGUGUAGCCAAAAAGGAAAAAUCGUUUAACCAACUGUGAUACAGACAUAAAAGAAUAAUAUAUAGUCACAAAAAUCAUGUAAUUUUUACUUUAAUCAAAUAAAUGAAACAUAUAUAUAUAAGUAUGUAUAAAUAUAUACAAUGUAUAAUGUACCCAGGUAUGUAAGACUAGCUUUAUAUCAACUACAUUAGCUUGUUAAUUUUAAAAUUAGCUAAUUUUAAAAUUAUGGACAGAUGUUUAGAUACUUUUUUGAUUAAGUAUGCAAUCAUUUCUCAAUAAUAUUUCAAAUAAGUAAAGGAAAAAGAUCAGGGUCAUAGCAUGGCAGGAAACAGAACUAAUUAUCACCCCCAGCAUGAAAUUGUUUCAAAUGAUGCUUUUUAAGUUAGAAAGCAUUUUUAAGAGUAUUUUAAAGUUUUGUUAUAAAAUAUCAUAAACAACGGAAUAAAGGCCAAAAGCAAUGCCUAUACUGUGCUUUCUUUGUAUUUUUUAAUGUGCUUGGAAUAAAAACUGUUUCUGUUUAGCUGAUCAAAGCUGUUUUGGGUUUCUUUUAAGGUGGCAAAGCUUCACCUGUGAAUUUUUAUAGAAGCUUGGGGAAACACUCAGCAGGAUCUAACUUUUUGUUGUGGGUAAAAAACAUUUUCCCUUUAUGUGAAAGUUUGCUCUUUAUUUGGCAGAAGGAAUCCCCUGGUGAGGUGAAUUUUAGUUGAAAAAAAAAAUACAAUAAAAUAUACAUCUUGAGAAUGGCAGGCAUCAAAGUGAAGAGUACAAUUGAAGAUUUAUUCAUCAUCUAUAUUAUCUAAAAUAAUGCCCUCUUUCUGAGGUAGAUGAUAGAGUUUUGCAAAAAUGUCCUUGAACAAGAAAUAUUUAGCUGUCUUUAUUUUGUAGUAGUGUUUAUGGAUCUUACAUCAUGUUGAGAUUUAAACUGAUUUCAUUCCCCCUCCUUUUGUUUAAUUAGUGUACAAUACUACCUGCUACAUAUCCAGUCAUGUAUGUCUGAUAUAAAAUCAUCAGACACACAACUCAUAUACAAAUUACAAUAUGCUUUCAAACUUGAUAACGAGACUUUUGCUAUUAGUUUCAAAUGGAACAUUAGUUUUAAAAAUAAAUAUUUUGUGAGAUUUAUAUUAUAUUAAGUAUAUUUAUAGUAUGGCAAGUAUUUAUAUUAUUGCUAUGGGUAAAUUACAUCCCCCCAAAUUCAUAUGUUGAACUCCUAACCCCAUUACCUCAGAACCUGACCUUGUUUGGAAAUAGGGUCAUCACAGGUGUAUUAGUCAAGAAGAGAUCAUAGUGGAGUAGGGUGGACCUCUACUCCUAACUGGGGGAUGUCCCUACAGAAAGGGAGAAUUUGGACACACAUGAACGGAGGAUGCCAUGUGAAGACUGGAAUUAUGUUGCCAUACGCCAAGCAAGAUUGCUGGCAGACCAGCAGAAUCUAUGAGACAGAUGUGGAACAGAUCCUUCCCUAGUGCCUUCAGAGGGAGUAUGGCCCUGCUGACACCCUGAUCUCACAUUCCUAGCCUCUAGAACUGUGAGACCAUACAUUUCUGUUGUUUCAGCCACUCACUUGUGGUACUUUGUUACAACAAUCCCAGCAAGCUAAUUCAAUUGCCAAUAGAAAAUGUCAGAGAAAAGUGUUUCAAAAUGUUCAGUCAUACAAGUAUUAAAUAAAGUAGAGGUCACCAUAAAUAGCGUGAAUUUGCUAUGAAUAUUUAAUCCAUGACAGUUCUGACUGAAACAUAACUUUUUUUCAAAGUAAUAUCCAGUUAUACUUGGACAGAUAUGAUAGUCUAUGUAAUUACAUCCACACAAUUACUUUUUGAGCCCCACAGAAGUGUAUCUUCCAUGGAAAAAAGUCUCAAAGACAUUACCCAACUUUCUAAACACAUGAUAGAUUUGAAAGAUUGCAUCAAUUUAUUUGCUGUGACUCAGUACAUAAUUAGUAUGCCUCUUACUACAGCUUCCUUCCCCAACGAUUAAGAAUGAAAUUUUUAGCUUUGUCCAUGUCAAUGGGUAGCAAUUAUGUUAAAAAAUUUUUUGAAAAUGUGCUGAUCAAGGGAUGAGUCAAUCAGCCUCAAGGAAAUUUAAGAAAAAUAAUCAUAUUUAUGAAAAAUGAGCAGUUCAUAGUCAGUAUACAUGAAGAGAAAUUAUUCUGUGUUAUGUGAAAUAUCACCACAGGAAACAACUCCACUGAACUGUGAGAAUGGUAGGAGGAAGAGAGGGUGCCCCCUGGAGAUCCCUUGUAUUUCUAUGGUUUAAUAAAAUAAAAUAUUGAUGAGGGUCUCAGAUCUUAGUGUUAAGAUAUCCCUGUUCUAAUCAGUACAUCUUGUCGCACUCAUUUAAAAUUCAAUUUGCCAAGGAAAUAAUGUCUCACCAAUAGUCAUCUAUGAUGAAACAAAGGCAAAAGAAAAAAUUAAAUUUCCUUACAAUUUACAGCCCAUUCACAAGUCCUUGAAACAGGCAGUGUGACCUUCCUCUGGGAGCUCAACUGCCUCCAUGUUAAUACUUUGCCUAAGGGCAAAAAGUAAUCUUAGCUUAACAUUAUCCCAACCUCCAGGAUCUGGUAAGUCUACUGGAAUUUAUAAAAAUUCUUUUGGAAAUUUCCUUUAUAUUUCCCCCCUAAAUAUAUGUUAGCAAUCAUCCUCCAAGCAUACGGCCCACUGAUUUGCAUCUGAGGGGUCUCAUGACUGUUUUAUUAGACAGUAAUAAAUGACCUUUUCUUAAAAAUAUCUAGCCCCUUCAAGAUCCUAGAAACCUUGCUUCCAAAAUUCCUCAGAGAUUUAGGCUAUCCCUGACCUCGCCCCACCUUGAAAGUACCCAUACAGCCCCAGGGCAGCUCUUUCUGCCCCUGAGUUCUGUCCCUGUGCUUUAACAAAACCACAUUUUGCACCAAAGAUGUCUCAAGAAUUCUUUCUUGGCCUUCGGCUCCCGGCUCCAAACCCCAACAUUUCCACGUUAAUCUACUCUUACUUGAUAAGAUAUUCAUAGAAACUUCCCAAAUAUAUUUUUAAAUGCAAUAAAACUUUAUUUAUAAAUGCCAUAUUUAUAGAACAGAUGAUGAAAUUUGAAUAGUUCAAAUAAUUCUGAGACAAAGGAAACUAACAAAACUUGAUGUCUAUU